rnacentral:rRNA from 1 species
CCUACGGGUGGCAGCAGUGAGGAAUAUUGGUCAAUGGACGAGAGUCUGAACCAGCCAAGUAGCGUGAAGGAUGACUGCCCUAUGGGUUGUAAACUUCUUUUAUAUGGGAAUAAAAUGUUCCACGUGUGGGAUUUUGUAUGUACCAUAUGAAUAAGGAUCGGCUAACUCCGUGCCAGCAGCCGCGGUAAUACGGAGGAUCCGAGCGUUAUCCGGAUUUAUUGGGUUUAAAGGGUGCGUAGGUGGAUUGUUAAGUCAGUUGUGAAAGUUUGCGGCUAAACCGUAAAAUUGCAUUUGAAACUGGCAGGCUUGAGUACAGUAGAGGUAGGCGGAAUUCGUGGUGUAGCGGUGAAAUGCUUAGAUAUCACGAAGAACUCCGAUUGCGAAGGCAGCUCACUGGACUGCAACUGACACUGAGGCUCGAAAGUGUGGGUAUCAAACAGGAUUAGAUACCCGAGUAGUC